GAUCUGGUCAUUUCUAAAAUAUAUUCAGCUGAUCAACAAUUUUGAUUUAAAUAAAAUCACUCUUACCUUCAACAGCCUCCACUGAUUCAGUAUUUACUCACAACUUCCCUAAUUCAUAAUAGUCAUCAUGUAAAUGUAUGCAAAUAAUUCAUAUGAUGCACAAUUCAUAGUCCUACUACAAUAUUUCACCUCAUCCUCUCACUUUCCUAACUCCUCGUCAUGCAUUCAUCAUCCGAACUAAUGAAUUGAAAUACACAUUUCAAUUUUAGU
rnacentral:lncRNA from 1 species